rnacentral:lncRNA from 1 species
GUAGUACUAUUCUGUAACUAAUGUAUUGUAUAGCAGUAUAUAUGUGAAAAUCCCGAAAAAUCAAAAGUAAUUAAACGAGCUUAAUGUUUGUUGGGGAAGAAGAAGAGAAAAUGAGGAAGAAGAUGAAGAAGAAGCUGCGCAGGUUAGUAAAUCAAAAGUAAUCUGUAAGUAAUUUAUUGUAUAGCAGUAUAUAUGCGAAGGGUUAGGCACUGGUAGGGUAGUAAUAUUAUUAUAAAAUAAGAGUAUAUUUGUCUUUUUACUAUAUCUUAUCGAUUUAUCGAUAAAC